AUUGAACGCUGGCGGCAGGCCUAACACAUGCAAGUCGAACGGUAACAGGAAGCAGCUUGCUGCUUCGCUGACGAGUGGCGGACGGGUGAGUAAUGUCUGGGAAGCUGCCUGAUGGAGGGGGAUAACUACUGGAAACGGUAGCUAAUACCGCAUAAUGUCGCAAGACCAAAGAGGGGGACCUUCGGGCCUCUUGCCAUCGGAUGUGCCCAGAUGGGAUUAGCUUGUUGGUGGGGUAACGGCUCACCAAGGCGACGAUCCCUAGCUGGUCUGAGAGGAUGACCAGCCACACUGGAACUGAGACACGGUCCAGACUCCUACGGGAGGCAGCAGUGGGGAAUAUUGCACAAUGGGCGCAAGCGUGAUGCAGCCAUGCCGCGUGUAUGAAGAAGGCCUUCGGGUUGUAAAGUACUUUCAGCGGGGAGGAAGGGAGUAAAGUUAAUACCUUUGCUCAUUGACGUUACCCGAAGAAGAAGCACCGGCUAACUCCGUG
rnacentral:rRNA from 1 species